rnacentral:lncRNA from 10 species
GCCAGGCUAGUCUCUAACUCCUGACCUCAAGUGAUUCACCACCCUCAGCUUCCCAAAGUGCAGGGAUUACAGGUGUCAGCCACCCCAAAGUGCCGGGAUUACAGGCGUGAGCCACUGCACCUGGCCUUCUUGUUUUUCUUUAUCAGACUUUUUCCCCUGGCAGGCUUUGUGGAGUAUUUUCUUUCUCCAUUUUCAUGUUUAUUUGCGCCAAAUAUUCCUUCACUCAUUCCUUUCCCCAGCCUGUAACGGACCUCCACUGUGCCUGUCCAUAACUGAAGCACACUUCCAAGUCCGGCUCCAUCCAGUCCUGAGGAUUCCAGCUUUCUUCUCCCCUUUUCCUCAUUAAAUGUAGGUGGUAGAUAAUUUAGGAUCUGUAUUAGACUCUCUAUAAUCUGACGUUUAUGUUAGAGUGGUCUUUUCCUUUCUAUUUGUUCCUUGAGGGCCAGGACUGACUUAUAGACCAAGACCAUUUUUCACACCUCUCAGCACUAACAUGGGAGAUAGUAUGACAUGGAGUCAGAUUGCCUGAGUUCAGAUCCUUGUUUUGCCACUUGGUAGCUGUGAUCUUGAUCGAGUCACUUAGCUUUACUAAACCAUGGUUUCCUUAGCUAUAACUUGAGAAUAAUAAUAAAACUUGUCUUUUCUUCUUCUUCUUCUUCUUCUUUUUUUUUUUUU